rnacentral:rRNA from 1 species
UGCAGUCGAGCGGAGUGAUGGUGCUUGCACUAUCACUUAGCGGCGGACGGGUGAGUAAUGCUUAGGAAUCUGCCUAUUAGUGGGGGACAACAUUUCGAAAGGAAUGCUAAUACCGCAUACGUCCUACGGGAGAAAGCAGGGGAUCUUCGGACCUUGCGCUAAUAGAUGAGCCUAAGUCGGAUUAGCUAGUUGGUGGGGUAAAGGCCUACCAAGGCGACGAUCUGUAGCGGGUCUGAGAGGAUGAUCCGCCACACUGGGACUGAGACACGGCCCAGACUCCUACGGGAGGCAGCAGUGGGGAAUAUUGGACAAUGGGCGCAAGCCUGAUCCAGCCAUGCCGCGUGUGUGAAGAAGGCCUUAUGGUUGUAAAGCACUUUAAGCGAGGAGGAGGCUACUGAAGUUAAUACCUUCAGAUAGUGGACGUUACUCGCAGAAUAAGCACCGGCUAACUCUGUGCCAGCAGCCGCGGUAAUACAGAGGGUGCAAGCGUUAAUCGGAUUUACUGGGCGUAAAGCGCGCGUAGGCGGCUAAUUAAGUCAAAUGUGAAAUCCCCGAGCUUAACUUGGGAAUUGCAUUCGAUACUGGUUAGCUAGAGUGUGGGAGAGGAUGGUAGAAUUCCAGGUGUAGCGGUGAAAUGCGUAGAGAUCUGGAGGAAUACCGAUGGCGAAGGCAGCCAUCUGGCCUAACACUGACGCUGAGGUGCGAAAGCAUGGGGAGCAAACAGGAUUAGAUACCCUGGUAGUCCAUGCCGUAAACGAUGUCUACUAGCCGUUGGGGCCUUUGAGGCUUUAGUGGCGCAGCUAACGCGAUAAGUAGACCGCCUGGGGGAGUACGGUCGCAAGACUAAAACUCAAAUGAAUUGACGGGGGCCCGCACAAGCGGUGGAGCAUGUGGUUUAAUUCGAUGCAACGCGAAGAACCUUACCUGGCCUUGACAUAGUAAGAACUUUCCAGAGAUGGAUUGGUGCCUUCGGGAACUUACAUACAGGUGCUGCAUGGCUGUCGUCAGCU